rnacentral:rRNA from 1 species
UACGUAGGUGGCCAGCGUUGUCCGGAUUUACUGGGCGUAAAGAGCGCGCAGGCGGUCGUUCAAGUCGCGUGUGAAAGCCCCCGGCUCAACUGGGGAGGGUCACGCGAUACUGAUCGACUCGAAGGCAGGAGAGGGUAGUGGAAUUCCCGGUGUAGUGGUGAAAUGCGUAGAUAUCGGGAGGAACACCAGUGGCGAAGGCGACUACCUGGCCUGUUCUUGACGCUGAGGCGCGAAAGCUAGGGGAGCAAACGGG